ACGGGAGGCAGCAGUGGGGAAUAUUGGACAAUGGGGGAAACCCUGAUCCAGCGACGCCGCGUGAGUGAAGAAGUAUUUCGGUAUGUAAAGCUCUAUCAGCAGGGAAGAUGAUGACGGUACCUGACUAAGAAGCCCCGGCUAACUACGUGCCAGCAGCCGCGGUAAUACGUAGGGGGCAAGCGUUAUCCGGAAUUAUUGGGCGUAAAGAGUGCGUAGGUGGUUUCCUAAGCAUAGGGUGAAAGGCAUUGGCUUAACCAAUGUUAGCCCUUUGAACUGGGUUACUUGAGUGCAGGAGAGGAAAGCGGAACUCCAUGUGUAGCGGUGAAAUGCGUAGAUAUAUGGAAGAACACCAGUGGCGAAGGCGGCUUUCUGGACUGUUACUGACACUGAGGCACGAAAGUGUGGGGAGCAAACAGGAUUAGAUACCCUGGUA
rnacentral:rRNA from 1 species